rnacentral:rRNA from 1 species
GCGCACCAGGCGCGAAUCGUUCACAAUGGGCGCAAGCCUGAUGGCGCGACGCCGCGUGUGGGAUGGAGGCCUUCGGGUUGUAAACCACUGUCACAGGGGAAGAAAGGCACGGAUGCUAACAUCGUCCGUGUUUGACGUUACCCUGAGAGGAAGCCACGGCUAACUCCGUGCCAGCAGCCGCGGUAAUACGGAGGUGGCAAGCGUUGUUCGGAAUUACUGGGCGUAAAGGGUGCGCAGGCGGUCUGUUGUGUUCGAUGUGAAACUCCCCCGGCUCGACCCGGGGAACUGCAUACGAAAACUGACAGACUUGAGUGCAGGAGAGGAGAGCGGAAUUUCCGGUGUAGCGGUAGAAAUGCGUAGAUA